rnacentral:rRNA from 1 species
AGUGAACGCUGGCGGUAGGCCUAACACAUGCCAGUCGAACGGCAGCACAGUAAGAGCUUGCUCUUACGGGUGGCGAGUGGCGGACGGGUGAGGAAUACAUCGGAAUCUACUUUUUCGUGGGGGAUAACGUAGGGAAACUUGCGCUAAUACCGCAUACGACCUACGGGUGAAAGCAGGGGAUCUUCGGACCUUGCGCGAUUGAAUGAGCCGAUGUCGGAUUAGCUAGUUGGCGGGGUAAAGGCCCACCAAGGCGACGAUCCGUAGCUGGUCUGAGAGGAUGAUCAGCCACACUGGAACUGAGACACGGUCCAGACUCCUACGGGAGGCAGCAGUGGGGAAUAUUGGACAAUGGGCGAAAGCCUGAUCCAGCCAUACCGCGUGGGUGAAGAAGGCCUUCGGGUUGUAAAGCCCUUUUGUUGGGAAAGAAAAGCAGCAGGUUAAUACCCCGCUGUUUUGACGGUACCCAAAGAAUAAGCACCGGCUAACUUCGUG